UACGUAGGGUGCAAGCGUUAAUCGGAAUUACUGGGCGUAAAGCGUGCGCAGGCGGUUAUAUAAGACAGAUGUGAAAUCCCCGAGCUCAACCUGGGAACUGCAUUUGUGACUGUAUAGCUAGAGUACGGCAGAGGGGGAUGGAAUUCCGCGUGUAGCAGUGAAAUGCGUAGAUAUGCGGAGGAACACCAAUGGCGAAGGCAAUCCCCUGGGCCUGUACUGACGCUCAUGCACGAAAGCGUGGGGAGCAAACAGG
rnacentral:rRNA from 1 species